rnacentral:rRNA from 1 species
CCUACGGGAGGCAGCAGUAGGGAAUCUUGGACAAUGGGGGCAACCCUGAUCCAGCCAUGCCGCGUGAGUGAAGAAGGCCCUAGGGUCGUAAAGCUCUUUCGCCUGUGAUGAUAAUGACAGUAGCAGGUAAAGAAACCCCGGCUAACUCCGUGCCAGCAGCCGCGGUAAUACGUAGGUGGCAAGCGUUGUCCGGAAUCAUUGGGCGUAAAGCGCGCGCAGGCGGUCCCUUAAGUCUGAUGUGAAAGCCCACGGCUCAACCGUGGAGGGUCAUUGGAAACUGGGGGACUUGAGUGCAGAAGAGGAAAGCGGAAUUCCAAGUGUAGCGGUGAAAUGCGUAGAGAUUUGGAGGAACACCAGUGGCGAAGGCGGCUUUCUGGUCUGUAACUGACGCUGAGGCGCGAAAGCGUGGGGAGCAAACAGGAUUAGAUACCCUGGUAGUCCACGCCGUAAACGAUGAGUGCUAAGUGUUAGGGGGUUUCCGCCCCUUAGUGCUGCAGCUAACGCAUUAAGCACUCCGCCUGGGGAGUACGGUCGCAAGACUGAAACUCAAAGGAAUUGACGG